GAAUAAGUUACAAAGGGAAGAGAGUGGAUGCCUUGACUUCUGUUUCCGACGAAGGACGUAGCAGGCUGCGAUAAGCCUCGGUGAGCGAGCCAAGCACGCUUUGAUCCGGGGAUGUCCGAAUGGGGAAACCCAAUCCGAGUUAUGUCGGAUUACUCCCGCGCAAGCGAGAGAGGUCACACAGUGAACUGAAACAUCUUAGUAACUGUGGAAAAUAAAUCAACAGAGAUUCCCAAAGUAGUGGCGAGCGAAAUGGGAAAAGCCUAAACCCAAGGUCGAAAGAUUUUGGGGGUUGUAGGACUCCGUUUAAGAUUCACAAAGCUUAGUCAAAGGAACCUGGAAAGGACCACCAAAGAAGGUAAUAGUCCUGUAGACGAAAAGCCAAGUGACUGAGGAGUAUCCUGAGUAAGGUCGGACACGUGAAAUCCGGCCCGAAUCUGGGAAGACCACUUUCCAAGGCUAAAUAGAACAGAAGAUCGAUAGCGAACAAGUACCGCGAGGGAAAGGUGAAAAGUACCCCAGAUAGGGGGAUGAAAUAGUAUCUGAAACUCUCUUCUUAUAAAGAGUCACGGCCCCGCUUAGCGGGGUUGUGGCGUACUUUUUGUAGAACGGACCAACGAGUUAGCUAUAUGAGGCGCAGGUUAAGCCAUUUCAGGCGAAGCCGUAGCGAAAGCGAGUACUAAUAGUGCGUUUGUCUCAUAUACUAGACCCGAAACGGGGUGAGCUACCCAUGGCCAGGAUGAACUCCGCUUAAUCGCGGAGGGAGGUCCGAACACACUGGUGUUGCAAGACCGGGUGAUGAGCUGUGGGUAGGGGUGAAAUGCCUAUCGAACCCCGAGAUAGCUGGUUCUCUCCGAUAUAGUUUUAGGACUAGCCUCGAUUUUUUCAUUAGAGGGGGUAGAGCUCUUUUUCGGCUAGGGGGUGCAAUACACCUACCAAACCGAGAAAAACUUCGAAUACCUUUAUGUAGAUCGGGAGUCAGACCGUGACAGCGAAGUGCCAUUGGUCGUGAGGGGAACAGCCCAGACCGCCUGCUAAGGUCCCUAAUAAAGUUUUAGUGGUAAAGGAUGUGAAACAGCGUAGACAGCCAGGAGGUUGGCUUAGAAGCAGCCACCCUUUAAAGAAAGCGUAACAGCUCACUGGUCGACGUUGUUUUGCGCCGAAAAUCCAACGGGGCUUAAAUCUUUAACCGAAGCAGCGGAUGCAUUGCACCGCAAGUUCAUGCGCAUUAUUUUUUUAUAAUGUGCACUGCGCUUGCGGCGCAGUGCGUGGUAGGAGAGCGUUCUCAUUGCAGCGAAGCGGAAUCGCGAGGUUCCGUGGAGUGGUGAGAAGUGAAGAUGUUGGUAUAAGUAACUAAAACCAGACGAAAACUCUGGUCACCGAAAAUCCAAGGUUUCCCAAGCAACGUCGAUCGACUUGGGGUUAGUCGGUCCUAAGGUCUUGGCUGAAAAGCCUGAUCGAUGGAUAAUCUGUUAAUAUUCAGAUACAACCUUUUUUUCGUCCCAGCAAAACCGGAAGUCUCUUGUGGUGAACUUCGACGCAAGUCGAGGGGAUCCAUUCGAACUGAAGGUGGCGCUAGCUGAGGAGUGACGCAGCAGGAAUUUUGGAGCGUGCAAAUGAAUGUACGUGCAAGCAUCAAGUUUAUGGCUUGAUAGGUAAAUCCGUCAGGUAUCACGAGAUGCUACGCAAAAUGCUUUGACCGCAAGGUCGGGGCGAUUCCAAACGUUUCAGCUGCCGAGAAAACCUUCGCAGCGAGAAAAAAGGGUUACCGUACCGCAAACCAACGCCGGUGGAUAGGUUGAGUAUACUAAGGUGAUCGGGUGAUACCCUCUUAAGGAACUCGGCAAUACAGCAGGUGUAACUACGGAAGAAACCUUGCUUUAAUCCUAUUGUAACUUCACUGUUGCAAUGGGAGAAAAGCCGCAGUGAAAGAUGCCAGGCGACUGUUUAUCAAAAACACAGCUCUCUGCAAAACCGUAAGGUGAUGUAUAGGGGGCGUCGCUUGCCCAGUGCCAGAAGGUCACGAGGAGAGCUUUACGGCUUGAAUCCAAGCCCUGGUGAACGGCGGCCGUAACUAUAACGGUCCUAAGGUAGCGAAAUUCCUUGUCGGGUAAACAAUUUGUUUUCACAGUCGGAAACAACUUGCCCGCACCACACGUAAGCGUGGACACUGAGGAAUAUAAAUGCGCAAGGCAAACGCUUUGUGAACAGUGGAAAACUCGACUAUAUGCUGGAAACCCCGUGUAUGAAGCACUACCCCGCAAGGCGGGGUGACAAUGUGUCUUCUGCGGACAAUCAGCAGGUGUCAUAUGUGGCAACAUAUAUGAUUAACCUCAGAGACUUUACGUCGAGACCCCGCGGGGCGGGGAUAAGAUAAAGUCCGAUCUCAUAGGCGACUAUGAGGCUUACAAAAAACGAGUGAGCCAUUCCUUUUGGAAUGCAACAAACGUCGCAAAAUAGUUCUUAAGACUAUUUAUUGCGGACAAUUGAAGUUCCGACCCGCACGAAAAGCGGAACGGUCCGGCAACUGUCUCGAGGGGGUGCCCGGUGAAAUUACAGAGUCGGUAAAAACGCCGAUUAACCAUGGAAGGACGAAAAGACCCUGUGCAGCUUUACUGUAUCCUGACAUUGAUUCGAGGUAUGUUUUGCGCAGUAUAGGUGGGAGCCUACGAUGGUUCGCUUUCGGGCGGGCUUGAGGCAACAUUGAGAUACCACCCUUGACAUACUUUGACUCUAACCCCGCGUAAAAAGUGGGGAACAGUGUUUGGUGGGCAGUUUAACUGGGGCGGUUUCCUCCUAAAGAGUAACGGAGGAGCGCGAUGGUCAGCUUAGCCUGGAUGGAAAUCAGGCUGGACGUGUAUUCGCAAAAGCUGGCUUAACUGCGAGACCUACAAGUCGAGCAGGUGCGAAAGCAGGCGAAAGUGAUCCGAUGCCACUACGUGGGUAGGGUAUCGCUCAACGGAUAAAAGUUACGCCGGGGAUAACAGGCUGAUCGCGCCCAAGAGUUCAUAUCGACGGCGCGGUUUGGCACCUCGAUGUCGGCUCGUCGCAUCCUGGGGCUGGAGAAGGUCCCAAGGGUAUGGCUGUUCGCCAUUUAAAGCGGUACGCGAGCUGGGUUCAGAACGUCGUGAGACAGUAGAAUUUUUGGCUUAUACAAGCCAAAAAUUGGCUAUUGCUGUCUAUAAAUUCGGCUAAAUGCUGGAAACUCUGAGUAUAUCGUAGUACUGUAUGGGUACAUACUCAUAAGUAAAAAUCUAUGAUUGCAGACAAUCAGCAGGAAAGACUAAAAGAUGGAUUUAAUCAUUACAUUUCCGGUUUUGUGGAUGGAGAAGGAACGUUCCAUGUUGCCAUUCAGAAGACAAAUAAUGUAAUUCCAGAAUUUCGAAUUUCACAACGUAGAGAUCGCGUGGAAUUAUUAAGAAAAAUUCAAGAAAUAUUCCAAUGCGGGUACAUUAAGCAAAAUCAUGCUCGCAAUCUGCGAGAUAAUAAUCUUGUGUACGUCGUUCGUGAUAAGAAUGAUCUCUGUGAUAAGGUAAUUCCUUUCUUCAAAAGAUAUCCGCUUCAAUCAGAAAAGUAUUAUGAUUUCAUUAAGUUUUCUGAAAUUGUUGAAAAGAUGCGGAAGGGCAUUCACCUUAAUAAUAUCGGUUUGAAGGAAUUACUGAAAAUCGUAUUCUCAAUGAAUAGAAAUGGUAAGUAUAGAACUAUUCAUAAAUCAAAUCUCAUUAAUCUUUUAGAAUCCUCAGAGACUAUACGCCGAACUCCUAAAAUACCAGGAGAAGAUAUAGUCCGAUCUCGUUAGCGAUAUCGAGAGAAAAGUAGAAAUACUUUUCCCCCCGCCAAAGCGGGGUGUAACAUUUAUGUUGGCCUCUAUCCGCCAUGGUCGUAGGAAAUUUGAAGGAAGCUGCCCGUAGUACGAGAGGACCCGGGUGGACGAACCUCUAGUAUAUCUGUUGUCGUGUCAACGGCAUAGCAGAGUAGCUAUGUUCGGAAGGGAUAACCGCUGAAAGCAUCUAAGUGGGAAGCCUAUCCUAAGAUAAAAUUUCCCCAUUAGCCUGCGCCAAGACUAGGCGCUUGAUAGGUCUAUAGGUGUAAGCACCGCGAGGUGUUGAGCCAAGAGAUACUAAUAGGCAAUUGACUUAUU
rnacentral:rRNA from 1 species